CCCGGCGCAGGCGGUGGAGCAUGUGGUUAAUUCGACGCAACGCGAAGAACCUUACCUGGGCUUGACAUCUGGGGAAUCUCAUGGAAACAUGGGAGUGCGGAGCGAUCUGAACCCCAAGACAGGUGCUGCAUGGCUGUCGUCAGCUCGUGUCGUGAGAUGUUCGGUUAAGUCCGCUAACGAGCGCAACCCUCGCUGUGUGUUAUAUGUGUCACACGGGACUGCCGGUCUUAAGCCGGAGGAAGGUGGGGAUGAUGUCAAGUCAGCAUGGCCUUUAUAUCCUGGGCUACACACACGCUACAAUGGCCAACACAAUAGGUUGCUAAGCCGCGAGGUGGCGCCAAUCCAUAAAGUUGGUCUCAGUUCAGAUUGUAGGCUGCAACCCGCCUGCAUGAAGAUGGAGUUGCUAGUAACCGCAGGUCAGCUAUACUGCGGUGAAUACGUUCCCGGGGCUU
rnacentral:rRNA from 1 species